UACGUAGGGUGCGAGCGUUGUCCGGAAUUAUUGGGCGUAAAGAGCUCGUAGGCGGCUUGUCGCGUCGUCCGUGAAAACCUGCGGCUCAACUGCAGGCUGGCGGUCGAUACGGGCAGGCUGGAGUUCGGUAGGGGAGACUGGAAUUCCUGGUGUAGCGGUGAAAUGCGCAGAUAUCAGGAGGAACACCGGUGGCGAAAGCGCUCAUCUGGCCCAAUACUGACGCUGAGGCGCGAAGGCUAGGGGAGCAAACGGG
rnacentral:rRNA from 1 species